rnacentral:misc_RNA from 1 species
AAAGUCGUAACAAGGUUUCCGUAGGUGAACCUGCGGAAGGAUCAUUACCAACCGAUGCGAGUCCCCCUCUCCGGAGGUGCGGACGCGUGUUACACCCCUUGUGAACCAUACCUUCUGUGCUUCGGUGGCGCGACCCCGACCUCCCGCUUCACCGCGGGGGAACGGGGACCGUAAGCCCACCGGCCGUAAACCCCACCGGAAAUUUUGAAUGUCUGAAUACAAUACAAAAACAAGUUAAAACUUUCAACAACGGAUCUCUUGGUUCUC